UUAAUUUUAUUUUUUUUACAGUUAAAACAAUUAAAAAAAUGUUAAUAGCUGAUAUUAAACUUUGUUUUUAGCUAAAGGGGACAAAGGGGAUCGAGGACCCCCAGGAAAAUUAGAGAUUCCAGGUUUUGGGUCAACCUUUGACUUUUACACUUUAAAGAAUGAGCUUAAGGGUGAGAUGGGCUUGAAAGGAGAGAAAGGGGAACCAGGUACUGGAUAUUAUGACCCAAGAUAUGGAAUAGUCCCCUCUGGACCUCCUGGUGUUCCUGGACUACCUGUACGAGUACUUUGAAAGCAGUCUUUGUUUUAGUAGCAGAUCUUUUUAUGAAGAGAUAUAUUUGCAUCUUAUUCACCAGGGCCCCAAAGGAGACUCAAUCAUUGGUCCACCGGGAAAUCCAGGUUUGCCCGGGCCACCAGGAAGAGGUUAUGAUGGCCAACCUGGACCUCCGGGCCCGCCAGGACCUCCAGGAACAUCAUUGACCAGCCCUUACGAGAGCAUACAAACCGUAAGUAUUCCUGGCCCCCCAGGGCCACCUGGAGCUCCAGGACGUCCCGGACUCUUUACUGGUGUGACAA
rnacentral:lncRNA from 1 species